ACGGGUGAGUAACGCGUGGGGAUGUGCCUUGAGGUGGGGAAUAACUGUGGGAAACUACAGCUAAUACCGCAUAAGCCCUUCGGGGGAAAGAUUUAUCGCCUUUAGAGCAACCCGCGUCAGAUUAGCUAGUUGGUAGGGUAAUGGCCUACCAAGGCGACGAUCUGUAGCUGGUCUGAGAGGAUGACCAGCCACACUGGGACUGAGACACGGCCCACACUCCUACGGGAGGCAGCAGUGGGGAAUAUUGGACAAUGGGCGCAAGCCUGAUCCAGCCAUGCCGCGUGAGUGAUGACGGCCUUAGGGUUGUAAAGCUCUUUUAACAGGGACGAUGAUGACGGUACCUGUAGAAUAAGCCCCGGCAAACUUCGUGCCAGCAGCCGCGGUAAUACGAAGGGGGCUAGCGUUGUUCGGAAUUACUGGGCGUAAAGCGCACGUAGGCGGAUUUUUAAGUCAGGGGUGAAAUCCCGAGGCUCAACCUCGGAACUGCCAUGAAUACUGUAGAUCUUGAGUUCGGAAGAGGUUGGUGGAACAGCUAGUGUAGAGGUGAAAUUCGUAGA
rnacentral:rRNA from 1 species